UACGAAGGGGGCUAGCGUUGCUCGGAAUCACUGGGCGUAAAGGGUGCGUAGGCGGGUCUUUAAGUCAGGGGUGAAAUCCUGUAGCUCAACUCCAGAACUGCCUUUGAUACUGAGGAUCUUGAGUUCGGGAGAGGUGAGUGGAACUGCGAGUGUAGAGGUGAAAUUCGUAGAUAUUCGCAAGAACACCAGUGGCGAAGGCGGCUCACUGGCCCGAUACUGACGCUGAGGCACGAAAGCGUGGGGAGCAAACAGG
rnacentral:rRNA from 1 species